UGUAACUUAGUGGCAAAGCAUCUGCUUUGCAUGCAGAAGGUCCCAGGUUUAAUCCCUGGCAUGUCAG